rnacentral:rRNA from 1 species
GACGAACGCUGGCGGUGUGCUUAACACAUGCAAGUCGAACGGUAAGGCCCUUUCGGGGGUACACGAGUGGCGCACGGGUGAGUAACACGUGAGUAACCUGCCUUCAUCUCUGGGAUAACAGUCGGAAACGGUUGCUAAUACUGGAUAUGAGCUUGCAAGGCAUCUUGUGGGUUGGAAAGAUUUUUUUUGGUUGGGGAUGGACUCGCGGCCUAUCAGCUUGUUGGUGAGGUAGUGGCUCACCAAGGCUUCGACGGGUAGCCGGCCUGAGAGGGCGACCGGCCACAUUGGGACUGAGAUACGGCCCAAACUCCUACGGGAGGCAGCAGUGGGGAAUAUUGCACAAUGGACGGAAGUCUGAUGCAGCAACGCCGCGUGCGGGAUGACGGCCUUCGGGUUGUAAACCGCUUUCAAUUGUGACGAAGCUUUUUUGUGACGGUAGCAGUAGAAGAAGCACCGGCUAACUACGUG